rnacentral:rRNA from 1 species
UGCCAGCCGCCGCGGUAAUACGAACUGUGCAAACGUUAUUCGGAAUCACUGGGCUUAAAGGGUGCGUAGGUUGUUGGUUAAGUCUAUGGUCAAAUUCCGAAGCUCAACUUCGGGCCGGCACUAGAAACUAAUCAACUUGAGUACGUUAGAGGCAGGGGGAAUUCCCAGUGUAGCGGUGAAAUGCGUAGAUAUUGGGAGGAACAUCAAUGGCGAAGGCACCCUGCUAGGCCGAUACUGACACUGAAAGACGAAAGCUAGGGGAGUAAAUGGGAUUAGAUA